rnacentral:rRNA from 1 species
GACGAACGCUGGCGGCGUGCCUAAUACAUGCAAGUCGAGCGCUUCUUUCCUCCCGAGUGCUUGCACUCAAUUGGAAAGAGGAGUGGCGGACGGGUGAGUAACACGUGGGUAACCUACCCAUCAGAGGGGGAUAACACUUGGAAACAGGUGCUAAUACCGCAUAACAGUUUAUGCCGCAUGGCAUAAGAGUGAAAGGCGCUUUCGGGUGUCGCUGAUGGAUGGACCCGCGGUGCAUUAGCUAGUUGGUGAGGUAACGGCUCACCAAGGCCACGAUGCAUAGCCGACCUGAGAGGGUGAUCGGCCACACUGGGACUGAGACACGGCCCAGACUCCUACGGGAGGCAGCAGUAGGGAAUCUUCGGCAAUGGACGAAAGUCUGACCGAGCAACGCCGCGUGAGUGAAGAAGGUUUUCGGAUCGUAAAACUCUGUUGUUAGAGAAGAACAAGGACGUUAGUAACUGAACGUCCCCUGACGGUAUCUAACCAGAAAGCCACGGCUAACUACGU